UACGUAGGUGGCAAGCGUUGUCCGGAUUUAUUGGGUUUAAAGGGUGCGUAGGCGGUCUUUUAAGUCAGUGCUGAAAUACUCCAGCUUAACUGGAGGGGUGGCAUUGAUACUGGAAGACUUGAGUGCAGUCGAGGUAGGCGGAAUUGACGGUGUAGCGGUGAAAUGCUUAGAUAUUGGGAGGAACACCAGUGGCGAAGGCGGCUCACUGGACCGGUACUGACGCUGAUGCGCGAAAGCGUGGGGAGCAAACGGG
rnacentral:rRNA from 1 species